rnacentral:misc_RNA from 1 species
GAUGAAGAACGUAGCGAAAUGCGAUACUUGGUGUGAAUUGCAGAAUCCCGUGAACCAUCGAGUCUUUGAACGCAAGUUGCGCCCGAAGCCAUUAGGCCGAGGGCACGCCUGCCUGGGCGUCACACGUCGUUGCCCCCCCAUCUACUCCUUCGGGAUUGCGGGGGGCGGAUGAUGGCCUCCCGUGCGCCUCGUCGCGCGGUUGGCAUAAAUGCCAAGUCCUCGGCGACGCACGCCACGACAAUCGGUGGUUGCGAAACCUCGGUUGCCCGUCGUGUGCGGUCGUCGCGCAUCGAGGGCUCGAAAAAAUUGCCGGGCUCCGGCUCGGCUUUCAACGCGACCCCAGGUCAGGCGGGGUUACCCGCUGAAUUUAAGCAUAUCAAUAAGCGGAGGU